GAUGAACGCUGGCGGCGUGCCUAAUACAUGCAAGUCGAGCGAACAGACGAGGAGCUUGCUCCUCUGACGUUAGCGGCGGACGGGUGAGUAACACGUGGAUAACCUACCUAUAAGACUGGGAUAACUUCGGGAAACCGGAGCUAAUACCGGAUAAUAUAUUGAACCGCAUGGUUCAAUAGUGAAAGACGGUUUUGCUGUCACUUAUAGAUGGAUCCGCGCCGCAUUAGCUAGUUGGUAAGGUAACGGCUUACCAAGGCGACGAUGCGUAGACGACCUGAGAGGGUGAUCGGCCACACGGGAACUGAGACACGGUCCAGACUCCUACGGGAGGCAGCAGUAGGGAAUCUUCCGCAAUGGGCGAAAGCCUGACGGAGCAACGCCGCGUGAGUGAUGAAGGUGUUCGGAUCGUAAAACUCUGUUAUUAGGGAAGAACAAAUGUGUAAGUAACUAUGCACGUCUUGACGGUACCUAAUCAGAAAGCCACGGCUAACUACGUG
rnacentral:rRNA from 1 species